rnacentral:rRNA from 1 species
GACGAACGCUGGCGGCGUGCCUAAUACAUGCAAGUCGAACGAGAGCGACCGGUGCUUGCACUGGUCAAUCUAGUGGCGAACGGGUGAGUAACACGUGGGUAACCUGCCCAUCAGAGGGGGAUAACAUCCGGAAACGGAUGCUAAAACCGCAUAGGUCCUUUAACCGCAUGGUUGAAGGAGGAAAAGAGGCGCAAGCUUCUGCUGAUGGAUGGACCCGCGGUGCAUUAGCUAGUUGGUGAGGUAACGGCUCACCAAGGCCGUGAUGCAUAGCCGACCUGAGAGGGUGAUCGGCCACAUUAGGACUGAGACACGGCCCAAACUCCUACGGGAGGCAGCAGUAGGGAAUCUUCCGCAAUGGACGCAAGUCUGACGGAGCAACGCCGCGUGAGUGAAGAAGGUUUUCGGAUCGUAAAACUCUGUUGUUAGAGAAGAACAAGUGCUAGAGU